AACGAACGCUGGCGGCACGCCUAAUACAUGCAAGUCGUACGAGAAAGUUGGGCAACCGAUGAGUACAGUGGCGCACGGGUGAGUAACACGUGGGUGACCUGCCCUUUAGAGUGGGAUAACAGGAAGAAGUUUCUGCUAAUACCACAUACGUUGAGAGAAAGUGAAAUUAUCUCAGGAAAGAUGGCGACCCUUUUAUUAGGAGCUAUCGCUAAAGGAAGGGCCUGCGGGCCAUAGCUAGUUGGUGGGGUAAAGGCCUACCAAGGCGAUGAUGGAUAGCCGGUCUGAGAGGAUGAUCGGCCACACUGGAACUGAGACACGGUCCAGACUCCUACGGGAGGCAGCAGUAGGGAAUCUUGCGCAAUGGGGCAACCCUGACGCAGCGAUGCCGCGUGAGUGAGGAAGGCC
rnacentral:rRNA from 1 species